rnacentral:rRNA from 1 species
ACGGAAGGCAGCAGUGGGGAAUAUUGCACAAUGGGCGCAAGCCUGAUGCAGCGAUGCCGCGUGAGGGAAGAAGGUUUUCGGAUUGUAAACCUCUGUCAACAGGGACGAUAAUGACUGUACCUGUGAAGGAAGCUCCGGCUAACUACGUGCCAGCAGCCGCGGUAAUACGUAGGGAGCAAGCGUUAUCCGGAAUUACUGGGUGUAAAGGGAGUGUAGGCGGAGCUGCAAGUCAGAUGUGAAAUCCCGGGGCUCAACCCCGGAACUGCAUUUGAAACUGUAGCCCUUGAGUAUCGGGGAGGCAAGCGGAAUUCCUAGUGUAGCGGUGAAAUGCGUAGAUAUUAGGAGGAACACCAGUGGCGAAGGCGGCUUGCUGGACGACAACUGACGCUGAGGCGCGAAAGCGUGGGGAGCAAACAGGAUUAGAUACCCUGGUA